UGUACAUGCGGGAUAACCGUAUAAAGGCUACUUACGUCCAUUGUAAUGAGAACUGUAGUGCCCCUCUUCAGUUUCAACUGUUUCAGUUUCUGGAUGAGACUAGGUGUAUCUUUUAUACAGGUACUGAGCUCAGAUAUAGGAGGCUGAAAUAGAAAGUCGAGCCAUUUGGCAAUCGGUUCCAGCAGACCUUCCAUCACUGAAACGAU